GAAGGUGAUGCCUGCCCGGUGACCCAACGUUUAACGGCCGCGGUAUCCUAACCGUGCAAAGGUAGCGCAAUCAAUUGUCCCAUAAAUCGAGACCAGUAUGAAUGGCUAAACGAGGUCUUAACUGUCUCUUGCAGGCAAUCGGUGAAAUUGAUCUCCCUGUGCAAAAGCAGGGAUAAACCCAUAAGACGAGAAGACCCUGUGGAACUUUAAAAACAGCAGCCACCCCAAAUAACAUAACCCCCCACUGGGCUCACUUACACAUAAGCCACUGGCCUGCAUUUUUUCGGUUGGGGCGACCUUGGAGAAAAACAAAUCCUCCAAAAAUUAGACCAUACCUCUAGACUAAGAGCAACCCCUCAACGUGCUAAUAGCACCCAGACCCAAUAUAAUUGAUCAAUGGACCAAGCUACCCCAGGGAUAACAGCGCAAUCUCCUUUAAGAGUCCAUAUCGACAAGGAGGUUUACGACCUCGAUGUUGGAUCAGGACAUCCUAGUGGUGCAGAAGCUACUAAGGGUUCGUUUGUUCAACGAUUAACAGUCCU
rnacentral:rRNA from 1 species